GACGUAGGGUGCGAGCGUUGUCCGGAUUUAUUGGGCGUAAAGAGCUCGUAGGCGGCUCGUCGCGUCAGCUGUGAAAACCUGCAGCUUAACUGUGGGCUUGCAGCUGAUACGGGCGGGCUAGAGUUCGGUAGGGGAGACUGGAAUUCCUGGUGUAGCGGUGAAAUGCGCAGAUAUCAGGAGGAACACCGGUGGCGAAGGCGGGUCUCUGGGCCGAUACUGACGCUGAGGAGCGAAAGCGUGGGGAGCGAACAGG
rnacentral:rRNA from 1 species